GCCUUGGUGGUGAAAUGGUAGACACGC
rnacentral:tRNA from 1 species